rnacentral:rRNA from 1 species
AGCAGCCGCGGUAAUUCCAGCUCCAAUAGCGUAUAUUAAAGUUGUUGCAGUUAAAAAGCUCGUAGUUGAAUUUCGGGACCAAUCUGCCGGUCGUGCCUUCGGUACGCACUGGUUUUAUUGGUCUCUCCCUUCUGGCGAACCAUGAUGUCAUUAAUUUGGUGUCAUGGGGAAUCAGGACUGUUACUUUGAAAAAAUUAGAGUGUUUAUAGCAGGCUCACGCUUGAAUACAUUAGCAUGGAAUAAUGAAAUAGGACGUUUGACCCUAUUUUGUUGGUUUCUAGGAUCGACGUAAUGAUUAAUAGGGAUAGUUGGGGGCAUUAGUAUUCAAUUGUCAGAGGUGAAAUUCUUGGAUUUAUUGAAGACUAACUACUGCGAAAGCAUUUGCCAAGGAUGUUUUCAUUAAUCAAGAACGAAAGUUAGGGGAUCGAAGACGAUCAGAUACCGUCGUAGUCUUAACCAUAAACUAUGCCGACUAGGGAUCGGAUGAUGUUAAUUUUUUAAUGACUCAUUCGGCGCCUUA